CGAAGGGUGCAAGCGUUGCUCGGAAUUAUUGGGCGUAAAGGGUAGGUAGGUGGUAAUAAAAGUCUGGGGUGAAAUCCCUGAGCUCAACUCAGGACGUGCCUUGGAAACUUUAUUACUAGAGUGCUGGAGAGGUCUGCAGAAUUCCCGGUGUAGCGGUGAAAUGCGUAGAGAUCGGGAGGAAUACCAGAGGCGAAGGCGGCAGACUGGACAGCAACUGACACUCAACUACGAAAGCGUGGGUAGCAAACAGGAUUAGAUUCCCUGGUAGUCCACGCUGUAAACGAUCGGUACUAGAGUUCGUGGGAGUUGACCCCUGCGGACUCGGAGCUAACGCGAUAAGUACCGCGCCUGGGAAGUACGGUCGCAAGACUA
rnacentral:rRNA from 1 species